UAACGAUAAAGGCGAACCCUGAGUGAUCAGGGGACGCAAAGUAACAGGGUCUUUUGAAUAUCUUCCUGCAGAAGCAGGAAGAGAGAAAGAUAGCCUUACUGUCGAA
rfam:Candidatus Brocadia fulgida BROFTL_contig000058, whole genome shotgun sequence.